GCUGGCGUAGCACAAUGGUAGUGCAUCCGACUUGUAAUCGGAAGGUUGUGGGUUCAAAUCCGACCGCCAGCU
rnacentral:tRNA from 2 species